rnacentral:rRNA from 1 species
UACGUAGGGUGCGAGCGUUGUCCGGAAUUAUUGGGCGUAAAGAGCUCGUAGGCGGCUUGGCGCGUCUGAUGUGAAAGCCCGGGGCUUAACUCCGGGUCUGCAUUCGAUACGGGCAGGCUAGAGUUCGGUAGGGGAGAUCGGAAUUCCUGGUGUAGCGGUGAAAUGCGCAGAUAUCAGGAGGAACACCGGUGGCGAAGGCGGAUCUCUGGGCCGAUACUGACGCUGAGGAGCGAAAGCGUGGGGAGCGAACAGG